rnacentral:rRNA from 1 species
GAUGAACGCUGGCGGCGUGCCUAAUACAUGCAAGUCGAGCGAACGGACGAGAAGCUUGCUUUUCUGAUGUUAGCGGCGGACGGGUGAGUAACACGUGGAUAACCUACCUAUCAGACUGGGAUAACUUCGGGAAACCGGCGCUUAUACCGGAUAAUAUUUUGAACCGCAUGGUUCAAAAGUGAAAGACGGUCUUGCUGUCACUUAUAGCUGGAUCUGCGCUGCAUUAGCUAGUUGGUAAGGUAACGGCUUAUCAAGGCAACGAUGCAUAGCCGACCUGAUAGGGGGAUCGGCGACACGGGAGCGGAAACGCGGACCAUGCGCCUACGGGAGGCAGCAGAAGGGAAUCUUCCGCAAUGGGCGAGAGCAUGACGGAGCAACGCCGCGUGAGUGAUGAAGGUCUUCGGAUCGUAAAACUCUGUUAUUAGUGAAGAACAUAUGUGUAAGUAACUGUGCACAUCGUGACGGUACCUAAUCAGAAAGCCACGGCUAACUACGUG